rnacentral:lncRNA from 1 species
GAAAGAGGAAAGAGUAGUUGGUUAAAUCUGUCAGUUUUGAGUUCUCGUGAUUAUUUUCAUUGAAAGUUAGUGAUGAUGGGACUUCAAAAUUGAUUGUUUGUCCCGCUCAUAGCAGCAACCCAUUUUGGUGUUUCCUCUCAGUUUCCCAGGGUUUACCACCAGGGAAAAUUGCUUGUCUUCCCAUUUAAGCAACUCAAUCCCAGCUGGUGUCCCUGGGAGCCCAAGGGAAGGCGCUGAAGAGAGAAAUCUUCCUGCCAGCUUCCUCCAGGAAUGUUUCCCCUGGCGUGAUGUGGGCGCUGGGAAGCGUCUGUUUGGCUCCCUGCUCCCAGGGGACAGGCAUUACUUCCGUUGAGUGUCAGAUAAUUGUCAAGUCCUCACCAAGGAUGAUACUGCUGCUGCUGUGAAACCGUCAAAGGUCUGCUGCUUGUUUGGGGUCUGUUGUGAUUCUGGAGCUAUUGAAACACGACAGCAGGUGACCCUCGUUCACCCACGAGUGUCCUGGGUCUACUUUCUUUUUGGAACCCUCCACCCCAUUAUUUCUGGUCUCACACGUGGAAUGGAUGCAGGGAGGGUAACAUCAGCCUUCUGAGUUCACAGACCUUAUCACCAGGUGUAGAUGGAGCACAGUCAGAUGCCCUGUCCUGCUUCCCUCACGCUGCGCCUGCGCCCCAGGAGGAGCAUUGAGCCCUGGGACAAAUAUGUCAUCUCCUGGUGGAGUAUCAGCUUUGCUAAGAGUUGGUGUGAACAUUGACGGUGCUGAGCUUGAUGUCUGGCACAUAACGAACACACAAACAUCAGCUAUGAUGCUGCUCAUGAGGAUCCGCUCAGAGCCUGGGAGGUGUCUCUCCUUCUGCUACGUGCUCUGGAAACUAACAACAAACCUGCGGUCCUGAGACUUUCCUGAGGAAUUGCCUUGAAGAGAGAGUUCACUGUGACUCUGAUGUAAACCCUUCCAGAGACCGUUUGCUUCAUUUUUGUUCCUUUUGCAGAACUUAAUUUUUUAAAAGAAAGUUUAAAAACAAGAUUGUAAACUUUUAUGGGUUGAAUUGUGUCCCCCCAAAAUAUAUGUUGAAGUCCUCACCCCCAGAA